AGGAGACGUGCCAUCACUCACCAGGGACAAGCAGAGCAGUAUGGAGGAGCCGGUCCACUCUGCAGUAUGGAGGAGCCGGUCCACUCUGCAGUACGGAGGAGCCGGUCCACUCUGCAGUAUUGAGGAGCCGGUCCACUCUGCAGUACUGAGGAGCCGGUCCACUCUGCAGUAUUGAGGAGCCGGUCCACUCUGCAGUAUGGAGGAGCCGGUCCACUCUGCAGUAUUGAGGAGCCGGUCCACUCUGGCUCAGCACACGGAGAAGGGGCUGUUUUAUAGGGCUCAUAUCAGGUGCAAGAACCGUUUUCAAGCAGUACCACAAGAUUUCCCAAGAGCAAGAAAAUGUACAGUAUGUCCAACUGUUCAACUUCUCAAGAUGUACAUGCAUGUCUUGUCACAAAUGUGCAGCAAGGGCACAACCUCCCAUUUCGUGGUAAUUCCAUGUAUUCCAUGAAGCAAGCUGUGUUUGCAGCAAGAAGAUAAGAAAUGAUGGAGUGUCAAUGGUGAGCCAUUAUGCUUCCCUCCAGACAGAUGCCUUGGGUGUAGAGACCUAU